GGCGGCGUGGUUUAGGCAUGCAAGUCGAGCGCGAAAGUUCCUUCGGGGGGCGAGUAGAGCGGCGAAAGGGUGAGUAAUGCUUGGGCAACUUACCUCUCGGACCGGGAUAGCCUCUGGAAACGGAGGGUAAUACCGGAUGGUCUCACGAUGACUGCGGUCGACGUGAGUAAAGCGGGGGUCUUCGGACCUCGCCCCGAGAGAGAGGCCCUGGUCCUACCAGCUUGUUGGUGAGGUAAUGGCUCACCAAGGCGAAGACGGGUAGCCGGACUGAGAGGUUGGCCGGCCACACUGGCACUGAGACACUGGCCAGACUCCUACGGGAGGCUGCAGUCGAGAAUCUUCCGCAAUGGACGAAAGUCUGACGGAGCGACGCCGCGUGG
rnacentral:rRNA from 1 species